AACACGUUCACAAAAUGUUUCUGAGAAGAAGAUGUUAUUUUGCUCUAUGGACUCAAAUGGUGUUUCUGGCAAUACCACAAGUGGAACUACUAGAAAUUGGUUUGCUGCUCGAUCAUAAAUCUACCUAUUCUUUAUUGUCUGCGCAAAACUGGAUAGCUUAUUGAGUUAAAACUGUCUAUACUUACAUAUCAUCUUAUGCUUUCUUUCUGUGAGACCCCCUUGAUGUUUUCUACCUUCCAUCCAGAUAUUUCUAUCAGACAUUCCUAAAGCAUUACAAGGCUUAUCUGUAAGAUACAAGCUCAAUUUCAUUUGACUGUUUUCCAAUCUUCCUGGGUUGAUCUUCUAUUUCCAUCCUCUGAAAUCCAAUGUGGUAUAUGCAACAGAGCAGUUGGGGAGACCCGUAUCCUUACUGCUUUCCGUUUUGGCUCGUGCUUGCUCUUAAUCUUGCAUAGCCAUAUCAGAACUUUAUCUACAAUAUCUGCCACCUUCCCUAAUUAUGCUUACAGUUUCAAACUUUAAACUGAAAAAGAUAUGAAUGUGGGCAGCAGCAGAAGCUAUUGUAUUUACAUAUUCUUGGUGCACCGGGAAUCAACCAUACAGAAGAGGUAUGGUUGGUCUCUUAUGGGAUUGCAAUUUAUAUGAAAUUUCAUGUCUUGAGCAUGGCCAGAACAUUUGGAAAGCUAAUUCUUGUGGAUCUGGCUGGCUCUGAGAAGGUUGAGAAAACGGGAGCAGAGGGCAGGGUUCUUGAAGAAGCUAAAACCAUCGAUAAGUCCCUGUCAGCACUUGGAAAUGUAGUGCAUGCCUCGACAUGCGGUCCAAACGGAAGAGGAAAUCAUAUUCUGUAUCCCAACUUUAAACUUACUCGGAUAUUGCAAGAUUCUCUUGUAAGACUGCCGCACAUUAGUGCUUCCAUUAUCCUGCUAGUAAUGUGGUUGUCUCACAGUGAGGGAACUCUUAAAUGGCAUUACUAUGUUUUUGUUCACCUGGCCCUUCAAAUGCGUCAGAAACGCUGUCAACCCUGGUGCCAGGGUGAAGCAUAUAAGAGCAUCGCCGCGUGUCCAUUGUACCAGAGAUAAACAAGCUAAGACAAUCUGGACAUCUUUCCUAUCUGAAGAUGAAUUACAUGACAGAGCUAUGGAAAAGGUCAAGGAGAGCAUAGAUGCUGAAGCUGCAAGUUGCUUCAGGAUUUGUUCUCACAGGAGGGAACAGCAUUCAAUCUGAAUUUUCUUGAGGACUUGGAAUUUGAUCGGGGGAAGGUUGCUGUACCAACUAAUAUUAAAUUCGAACGAGCCCUGGAGGAGCUUGCCUCUGCUGUCGAGCUGCGAGAGAAAGCCUGAUGUGGUGACUGAGAAUCGAGUUACCAACUCAUUUAAAAACUCUUAAAGACCAGAACAAAGUUCUCGAGGCAAUGCUGGUAGUUGCGACAAAGAUGAUUUCAUCUCCAGGCAAGGCAAGAGGAAAUUUCGGCUUUCUGAGUGUAGAAUCUGGAGAUAAAUCAGACCUCUCGAAUCAGAAAUGCCCAUUGAGUACAAAAAGAAGUGUUGCAUUUUCAUGUGCGAGAAUGAACACUUUCAUUUAAGAGGCCGCUGUCAAAAACAUCACAGUUCAGCUUUUGUAAAUUCACUUGGCAAGGUAUGUAGCCAGAAAGAAUAUAGCAAGGUCUUUGGUAUCAUAUAUACAUCACAACUGUACAACCGUCACACUUCUAAGGCUCUAGUAAAAUGAAUGGACCGUAAAAUUUUACCCAUAUGCACAAUCGUAGCAGCCCACAAUGUUGUCCUGUUAAGCGAAUUGGAGUUUACGAGGCCUCAAUGUGGCAAAGUUCUCCACUCUCAGUUCAUAGUGAUACUGAUAUAGUCCUGGAGGAUAUGACCGCUGACUACAGUGCCCACGGCACUUGUUGACGAUAUGUUCCCUGAUGCAAUCACUCGAAGGCCUUGAUCAGGAAUGAUAGAAACAACUUCCACAGGAGGCCUACGUGUGCCAAUAACAAUGAUAUUGCCAAUAUGAACUCCUUGAAGAAGAGAUUCAGCAUGCUUAACAUCUCUUCCGCUGACGUAGGAACAGGCAGGAAAUUUCACUUUGAAAUGUCAGAUGGUGCACGUCAAAUAUUUCAUAUUGAUGUGGAAAGGACUUCAAUCCCUGGAGUUAUUAGAAGGCAAGGAUUAGAAGCAGAAAUCACAACAAAAUGAUGUCCCACUGUACCCAUACUGAUACCAGCAUUAUUGCGAGACCGAGUUGGGCAUAAUGGCGAGGAUGAAGGAAUGCCUUCCGAGUGGUCAGCCUUGGCGGGCAAACAAAGCCUCACUGCACUCAGGUGUGUCUGGAUUAGCCAACCAUCGCCUGCAAGGCUAGAGGCCGAAGUACAGACAUCAGUUUGGAAACCGACUGCAUUAGUCACAUCUGUAAAGCUUAGUCCAACAGAUAAUACCCUUGUUUCUUCGACAAAUGAUAGUACAUGGGAAGAAUGAUAAGAGGCUGUCACUUUCAUCUUCGUCAUCUAAAUACCAGUUAUGCCUUGAUAAAUUGGAAGCAGUUUCAACAGCUUCUCAACAUUGAUGCCACUUCAAAUAAUUCUGAGUGAUCCUUGGGGCGCCACUCCACAACAAACAUAUAAUCUUGUUUUUCAUCAUGAAAAUCUGCUAGUGACGUCCAAGAUAGGACAGUUACUCUGGAUAGCAUUUUGUACAUGUUAGCUUUUCCAUUUUCAUAUUUCAGGAUCUUCCCAUCUCUCAUCUCUUAUCUCAACAAUUGCAGCCAAGGAUGCCACCUUCUACCCACAGAAGAGCCUU